UAGUAGAAAUUUUAUAUAUUUCUACUGUUAAAAAUUGGUGUUGUUGACAAAAUAACAAGAGAAUUACACGUGACAUAUCAUGUGUACCUCAUCCUAAUAUACGGGGACUAAUUUUUAACAAUAAAAAUGAAUUGGAGUUUUAAUA
rnacentral:pre_miRNA from 1 species